GACAUAGGUGGCGAACGUUAUCCGGAAUUAUUGGGCGUAAAGGGUGCGUAGGUGGUUUAAUAAGUUAUUGGUGGGAAACCGGGGCUCAACCCCGUGGAAGUCAGUAAUACUAUUAAACUAGAGGGUCGGAGAGGUUAACGGAAUUCUAUGUGUAGCGGUAAAAUGCUCAAAUAUAUAGAGGAACACCAAGUGGCGAAGGCAGUUAACUAUUCGGUUCCUGACAUUGAGGCACGAAAGCGUGGGGAGCAAGACGG
rnacentral:rRNA from 1 species